AUACAGGCGAAGUCACUGAUCCCAUGCUGCCGAGAAAAGCCUCUAGCGAGCUCACGUGGUGCCCGUACCCCAAACCAACACAGGUGGGCAGGUAGAGAAUACCAAGGCGAUCGGGAGAACUAUGGUAAGGAACUCGGCAAAAUACCUCCGUAACUUCGGGAGAAGGUGGACCCCAGUAGGGUGACGGACUUCGCGUCCUGAGCCCGAAGGGGUGGCAGAUACUAGGGGAAAGCGACUGUUUACUAAAAACACAGCAGCGUGCGAAGCCGCAAGGCGAUGUAUACGCUGUGACGCCUGCCCGGUGCCGGAAGGUUACGGGGAAGGGUCAGCCCUUUGGGGCGAAGCUCUGAACCUAAGCCCCGGUAAACGGCGGCCGUAACUAUAACGGUCCUAAGGUAGCGAAAUUCCUUGUCGGGUAAGUUCCGACCUGCACGAAUGGCGUAACGACUUUCCUACUGCCUCAACCAUAGGCCCGGCGAAAUUGAAGUACGAGUAAAGAUGCUCGUUAGCUGCAGAAGGACGGAAAGACCCCGUGGACCUUUACUACAGCCUGAUAUUGGGUUUUGGUAUAUGUUGUGUAGGAUAGGUGGGAGACUUGGAAGCGUCGGCGCUAGCCGGCGUGGAGUCACCCUUGAAAUACCACCCUGCAUAUGCCGGAACUCUAACCUAGAUCCGUUAUCCGGAUUGGGGACAGUGGCAGGUGGGUAGUUUGACUAGGGCGGUCGCCUCCUAAAGAGUAACGGAGGCGCCCAAAGGUUCCCUCAGGCUGGUUGGCAAUCAGCCGUCGAGUGCAAUGGCACAAGGGAGCUUGACUGCGAGACAUACAUGUCGAGCAGGUGCGAAAGCAGGGCAUAGUGAUCCGGCGGUUGCGUGUGGAAGCGCCGUCGCUCAACGGAUAAAAGGUACCCCGGGGAUAACAGGCUCAUCUUCCCCAAGAGUCCAUAUCGACGGGAAGGUUUGGCACCUCGAUGUCGGCUCAUCGCAUCCUGGGGCCGUAGCAGGUCCCAAGGGUUGGGCUGUUCGCCCAUUAAAGCGGUACGCGAGCUGGGUUUAGAACGUCGUGAGACAGUUCGGCCCCUAUCCUCUGCAGCCGGAGGGAAUUUGAGGAAAGCUGUCCCUAGUACGAGAGGACCGGGACGGACGCAGCUCUCGUGUGCCAGUUGUCCUGCCAAGGGCACGGCUGGUUAGCGACCUGCGGAAGGGAUAAGCGCUGAAAGCAUCUAAGUGCGAAGCCUGUUCCUAGAUGAGAUUCCCCACUGGGUUAACCAGGUAAGGCCCGUGACCAGACGAUCACGUUGAUAGGCCGGAGGUGUAAGCACAGCAAUGUGUUCAGCCGACCAGUACUAAUCGGCCGAGGGCUUGGAUUU
rnacentral:rRNA from 1 species